UACAGAGGGUGCGAGCGUUAAUCGGAAUUACUGGGCGUAAAGCGCACGUAGGCGGACAUUUAAGUCAGGGGUGAAAUCCCAGAGCUCAACUCUGGAACUGCCUUUGAUACUGGGUGUCUAGAGUAUGGAAGAGGUGAGUGGAAUUCCGAGUGUAGAGGUGAAAUUCGUAGAUAUUCGGAGGAACACCAGUGGCGAAGGCGGCUCACUGGCCCGGUACUGACGCUGAGGUG
rnacentral:rRNA from 1 species